UGUAUGUUCCAAGGAACCACGUACCUAUGU
rnacentral:piRNA from 1 species